rnacentral:rRNA from 1 species
CCUACGGGAGGCAGCGGUGGGGAAUAUUGCGCAAUGGGCGAAAGCCUGACGCAGCGACGCCGCGUGAGGGAUGAAGGUCUUCGGAUCGUAAACCUCUGUCAGCAGGGAAGAACGGUCACUGUGCUAAUCAGCAGUGAAUUGACGGUACCUGCAAAGGAAGCACCGGCUAACUCCGUGCCAGCAGCCGCGGUAAUACGGAGGGUGCGAGCGUUAAUCGGAAUUACUGGGCGUAAAGCGCUCGUAGGCGGUAUGUCAAGUCAAGGGUGAAAUCCCCGCGCUCAACGUGGGAACUGCCUUUGAAACUGGCAAACUGGAGUGUGUGAGAGGAUAGUGGAAUUCGAGGUGUAGGAGUGAAAGCCGUAGAUAUCUGGAGGAACAUCAGUGGCGAAGGCGACUAUCUGGCACAUAACUGACGCUGAGGAGCGAAAGCGUGGGUAGCAAACAGGAUUAGAUACCCGGGUAGUC